rnacentral:rRNA from 1 species
UACAGAGGUGGCAAGCGUUGUUCGGAAUUACUGGGCGUAAAGGGCGCGUAGGCGGUCAGGUCAGUCCCGUGUGAAAUCCCUCGGCUCAACUGAGGAACUGCACGGGAAACUGCCUGGCUUGAGUUCGGGAGAGGGAAGCGGAAUUCCGGGUGUAGCGGUGGAAAUGCGCAGAUAUCAGGAGGAACACCGGUGGCGAAGGCGGGUCUCUGGGCCGAUACUGACGCUGAGGAGCGAAAGCGUGGGGAGCGAACAGG